rnacentral:rRNA from 1 species
UACGGAGGUGGCAAGCGUUGUUCGGAAUUACUGGGCGUAAAGGGCGCGUAGGCGGCUUGGCAAGUCAGAUGUGAAAGCCCCGGGCUUAACCCGGGAAUUGCAUCUGAAACUGCUUUGCUUGAGUCCUGGAGGGGGUAGUGGAAUUCCCAGUGUAGCGGUGAAAUGCGUAGAUAUUGGGAGGAACACCUGCGGCGAAGGCGGCUACCUGGACAGUGACUGACGCUGAGGCGCGAAAGCUAGGGGAGCGAAC